UGCACUGCAAGGUCGCAAGGUCGCAAGGU
rnacentral:piRNA from 1 species